GACGAACGCUGGCGGCGUGCCUAAUACAUGCAAGUUGAGCGCUGAAGGUUGGUACUUGUACCGACUGGAUGAGCAGCGAACGGGUGAGUAACGCGUGGGGAAUCUGCCUUUGAGCGGGGGACAACAUUUGGAAACGAAUGCUAAUACCGCAUAAAAACUUUAAACACAAGUUUUAAGUUUGAAAGAUGCAAUUGCAUCACUCAAAGAUGAUCCCGCGUUGUAUUAGCUAGUUGGUGAGGUAAAGGCUCACCAAGGCGAUGAUACAUAGCCGACCUGAGAGGGGGGUCGGCCACAUUGGGACUGAGACACGGCCCAAACUCCUACGGGAGGCAGCAGUAGGGAAUCUUCGGCAAUGGACGAAAGUCUGACCUAGCAACGCCGCGUGAGUGAAGAAGGUUUUCGGAUCGUAAAACUCUGUUGGUAGAGAGGAACGUUGGUGAGAGUGGAAAGCUCAUCAAGUGACGGUAACUACCCAGAAAGGGACGGCUAACUACGUGCCAGCCGCCGCCGUAA
rnacentral:rRNA from 1 species